rnacentral:rRNA from 1 species
CCUACGGGAGGCAGCAGUGGGGGAUAUUGCACAAUGGGGGAAACCCUGAUGCAGCGACGCCGCGUGGGUGAAGAAGCGCCUCGGCGCGUAAAGCCCUGUCAGCAGGGAAGAAAAUGACGGUACCUGAAGAAGAAGCCCCGGCUAACUACGUGCCAGCAGCCGCGGUAAUACGUAGGGGGCAAGCGUUAUCCGGAUUUACUGGGUGUAAAGGGGGCGCAGACGGCGAUGCAAGCCAGGAGUGAAAGCCCGUGGCCCAACCCCGUGACUGCUCUUGGAACUGCGUGGCUAUAGUGCAGGAGGGGCAG